GCCUUGUGCACUGGCUACAAAUGAUCCCACUGUGUGGUCUGCCUCACACAGGUCUUGCUUAAACUCACUGCUAGGUGAGGGGCUGGACUCAAAUCCACUCUCAGGAAGCAGGCAGGAGUGUGAUUCCCCCUGGGACUGAGCGUGCCUGAAAUGCUGCACCAGGUUGCUGAACACACUGGCACAGGCUCUGAGAAGUGCUUCAGUGCACCCCAAAGUGAGCACACAUCCUCUCAGCCUCAGCACUGACAGAGGGCUCAUCCAUCGUCUGCACCGAGGGAAUCCACUCAGAGCUGUGCACGGCCCCUGCCUGCUGUGCUCCGUGUGUCAGUGCCUGUGUGGGCAGCAGCAGCAGCAGCUCCUCGGUGGAUGCCUGUGCCGCCACAAAUCCUUUCUGCCAGGAUCUCCAGAGGAAACAUGGGAAUGAUCAACCCAGCACACAGCAAGUCAAGUCUGGGAGAUCACCCAUCUAAGGCUGGUCAUGCUGACACUGUUCCUGGUAUCAGUACAGUAUUUAUUACAUCCCUCAGUAUCCUCUGGCAAUGGCCUUGGCCCUUGUUCAAGGCUGAGUGACACACAGUUACCGUGCAGUAAACCCACUGUGGCACUCACAUUCUCUGAACAGAGAGAUAAUUCUCUCUCCCAGGUUUUUUCCUGGAGAAGCACAGAGAAAAGAGGAGAAAACAAUUCUUAUCUUUACCUGCUGCUCCUGUUGUUUUUGCACAUGUGGAAUGUGUUAGGAAGAUUGCUUGCCCGAGGGGAUUUGGUAAUUGGAUUCUGGUGAUGGUUGUUUAUGUUAAUUAACCAAUCACUCGAAGCU